CCAGUCUCCAAAUGGGACCAAAUCCCAAUGGUUAGGGUAGAUUGAGAAUAGGGUUGGUUCUUAUUUGACCUGCGACCUGUACCUAGUAGCGAGGGCGAAUACGUACACACACACACACACACACACACACACACACACACACACACACACACACACACACACACACACACACACACACACAGUUGCAAUAAAUGAUUAAACCAAACACAAAUUUCAAUAGAUGUUUCGUCUAUGUGUUUCAGCCUCCCAGACAAGAACUCAGUACUUAUUAACGUUGGUCUU